GAUGAAGAACGCAGUGAAAUGCGAUAAGUAGUGUGAAUUGCAGAAUUCAGUGAAUCAUCGAAUCUUUGAACGCACAUUGCGCCCCUUGGUAUUCCAUGGGGCAUGCCUGUUCGAGCGUCAUUUGUACCUUCAAGCCUUGCUUGGUGUUGGGUGUUUGUCUCGCCUCUGCGCGCAGACUCGCCUCAAAACAAUUGGCAGCCGGCGUAUUGAUUUCGGAGCGCAGUACAUCUCGCGCUUUGCACUCACAACGGCGGCGUCCAAAAGUACAUUUUUACACUCUUGACCUCGGAUCAGGUAGGGAUACCCGCUGAACUUAAGCAUAUCAAUAAGCGGAGGA
rnacentral:misc_RNA from 1 species